rnacentral:lncRNA from 1 species
GGGGCCAUUGUUAGGGUUUUAAAGCUUCCAAGCUCCAUAGUAAGUGAUUCUAAGCCCCGUUUUUAAUGUUCUUUACGUUUUUGGAGUCCCGGUAACUUGAUUUUGCUUAUUCUAGCAAUAAUUUAAUCUAGGGUUUAUAUUUGGAAAAAUACUCAUAUGUGAAAUGUGUUUAUUUUGAUGUUUUAUGGUAGAAUAUGAAGCUAGAAAUUAUGUUAAGCAACUUUUGCUAAGCGAUUUUGAGUGAAAACGAGUAAAACGACAUAAUCGAUAAAAAUACUAAAUGUUUAUAAGUAAGUGUUAGAGUGGGAAUUUGGUGUUGCCAUAGAAGGGAAAAAUGUUCAGCAUGUCAUAAUACAUAAGAAUAAGGGAUAAAGUUUAAUUUCCGAGCCUAGGGGUAAAAUUGUAAUUUUGUGAAACUUUAGGGGCAAAAAUGUAAUUUUUCCAAAAUGUGAUUUUUGGACUAGAUUGAAAAAUGUGAGUGUUAAAUAAAUUAAAUGUGUUAUUAUAAGUCAAGAAAGACAAGGAAUUGACUUUGAUUAGUAAAAAAAAAUGAGAAAAAGUGAGAAAUUUCCCGAUUGAACAUUCGGAAUAAAAAGGGAUACGAAUGAAGUGACAGAAAUGAUCACAUAUGUGGCAUGGACUGUGUGUAGGCCACUAUGUGAAAGUGAAAGUGAUGGUCACGUUUGUAGUACUAUGUGUAGGCUACUACGUGUACCAGAAUGAUAGGUCGCAUGUGUAGUACUAUGUGCAGGCUACUAUGCGUAUCGAAUAGCUUCGAUCACGUGUGUAGUACUAUGUGUAGGCUACUACGUGUACCAGAAUGAUAGGUCGCAUGUGUAGUACUAUGUGCAGGCUACUAUGCGUACCGGAUAGCUUCGAUCACGUGUGUAGUACUAUGUGCAGGCUACUACGUGUAUCGGAUAGUGAUGGUCACAUGUGUAGUACUAUGUGCAUGCUACUAUGUGAAUCCGCAUCAUUGAAUAUAAAGGUGGUUGCUAAGUGCUGAUUCCACCGUAUCCUUAACUGUGAAAGGGGUUGCUAUGUGCUGAUUCCCUGUAUCAUUGAAUAUAAAGGUGGUUGCUAAGUGCUGAUUCCACCGUAUCCUUGACUGUGAAAGGGGUUGCUAUGUGCUGAUUCCCCGUAUCAUCGAUUAUAAGGUGGUUGCUAAGUGCUGAUUCCACCGUGUAACGGUUAAUAUUCCGAAGUGUUCAUCGGGGAAAUUAGAUAAGUGAAAAUAUAUGUGAAUCGAAUAAGGUUACGUGAUGAAUAUUGGGUUCGAUAUUUAAUCGACCCCUAUGUAGGAUGAAAAGAAGUAAUGAAAUUAUGAAAAAGUAAAAUGUGCAACAAAACAGUUUUAGAAAGUAACAAUAGUGUGACUUUGAAAAAUCACCAAAAAUGGUGGAAAUUUAAUUAUAGAGUGAAUAAGAUAUGAAAUGAAAGCUUAAGGAGUCUAUUUUUACAUGAAAUAAACAAGGAAAGCAAAAGAGUUACACAUUUUUAGAUAUUUGAAUUUUAGUGAGACAGGGUCGGAUUGAUUUUGGAAUCCCCUGUUCUGACUUUGGAAAAUAGUUAAAAAUUGUACAAAAAUAAUUAUGAGUUAUAAUUUAUAUGCUUAGAAUCCUUAAUGAGUCUAUUUUCAAAGGAAAGAAACGUAAAUAUCAUCCGAAUUCUGUACAAUGAGAUAAUUCAUUUUUACUGAAGAGAGGUCAGUGAUGUUGAGCAGUGAAACAGGGGUGAGUUUAAAGAAUAAACUGUACUAAUUGGCCAAGUAAAAAAUUCUGAAAAUUUUAUGAUAAGAAUAAAUGUGAGUCUAGUUUUAGGGAAAAUUAACAGAUCUUAGUUUGGAGCUCUGUAGCUUCAGAUAAAAAUGAUUUAGUGACUCUGACUCAAAUAGACAACUUUGAAUUUAAAUAUAAGUGAAUAGUAAAAUUAUGUAUAAUGCUAUUUAAGCAUGUUUUAUACAUAAAGGAUGUGGAAUGGAGAGGAGGAGGAGGACAAUAAAAUGUAGGAAAGAAUUGUGUAUAAUGGUCAUAUGCCCGAUUAUAAUCGGUAAAUGUUAAAUUGAAUGGUAAAUACGUAUUGGUACCGAAGGAACUAUUGCGGUGUUGAAAAGCAAUUGAUCAAAUAUAUAAGAAAUUUAGUCUUGAUAUAUAUAUAUGAUAAUAAUGAUAUAUGGAUGAUUAUAUCAUUGAGUUGCAUUGAUUAAUUCGGUUUAUGUGAUGGAAAUGUCAAGAACAUUUGUCUUUGAUAUGUGAUGAUCAUGGUUUAAGCUAAUAUGGAAAAAUAAAGUUUCAUAGUAUGAGAGUGUGGUAUUGAAAUAUAUAUAUUGGAUUGAGAAAUUAAUUUGAAUCGUGAACACGAAAUAUUAUGAAUUGAAUAAAAUGGAAAUGGAACUUUGAAUUACAUGAGUAAGUAUUGGGUCUCGUAGGCCCUAUCUGUUAUGAAUAUAAUAUUUUGAGGAUAUGUUAUAAAGAAUUAUAAAAGCAUGUUAAAAAUUUGAAGAGUUUAAAUUUGAAUGAAAUUUUGUAACUCGGUUUAAUACGUUUACAUGUGUAAGUGUUCUAGUAAUGCCUCAUACCCUAUUUCGGAGUUGAAUACGGGUAAGGGGUGUUACACUAAAAGUGGGAUUAAAAUUUGGCAUGAGAUAUUUGCAAUUUUUGGUCCCUAAUUAUAUAGUGACUUUACAAAUUGAUCCCUGAAUCUCAACUAUAAAUAGGCCUAACGAUUUCUCAUUUUGAUUAUCCCCCACUUUUGUCAUUCUCUCCUUAAGGCAUUGUUUUCUCUCUUUAUUUGUAAAUUUUCACUUGUAUUUUGAAGUAAAAUAUAUAUGUUAGUGCCUGAGGACGUAGGCAAAAUUUGCUGAACCUCUUUAAAAUUCUUGUGUACUUUAUUGUUUAUUUUGCAUAUUUUGUGAGAGUGAUUGUAGUGAUUUAUUGUGCGGUUAAAUUACGAUAGAGGGAUAUUCUGGCUAGGAAAGACCUAGUACUUAAGUGAUCCACGUGACCCAGCUCUCUUUCCUGGGAAUUAAACUUAGUGUACUUUUUUAGUACAAUAAUUUUACUCUUUUACAAGCUUCCGCACAACAAUUGGUAUUGGAGCCAAGUUUGUACUUGGAGAAUACGACCGUUUAUGACACUUUGCGUAUACGGUAUUGCCCAUCCACGGCACUAUUCAUGUCGACAGUAUUGUUCACAUAUACAGUAGUUGGGAUUGAGGAGAAAAAAUGGCAGAGGCAUCAUCGUUAGCAAAGACUACUGUGACCAAUGCAAAAUUUGAAGUAGAGAAAUUUGAUGGUACCAAUAAUUUUGGUAUGUGACAAUGUGAGAUCCUGGAUGUCUUAUGUCAGCAAGAGCUGGAUAUAACCCUUGAAGAGAAACCUAACAAGAUGGAUGACAAGGAGUGGGCCAAGAUCAAUAGAUAGGCGUAUGGUACAAUCCGCCUAUGUUUGGUCAAAGAGCAGAAGUAUUCUGUCAUGAGGGAGAUAUCAGUGAAAAAGUUGUGGGAUACACUGGAAGAAAAGUUUCCAACGAAAAGUCUUGAAAAUAGGCUUUAUAUGAAAAAGAAACUUUAUCAAUUCACGUAUGCACCUGGUAUGUCGAUGAAUGACCAUGUGAACUCAUUCAAUAAAAUUUUAGAAGACUUACUAAAUUUGGAUGAGAAAUUUGAAGAUGAAGACAAUACAUUAUUGUUGUUGAAUUCUCUUCCUGAUGAAUAUGAUCAUCUUACCACCACAUUGCUUCAUGGGAAGGAUACGAUCACAUUUGAUGCAGUCUGUAGUGCAUUGUAUAGAUCACAGAGAUACAACUGCAGAAGUCUUAACAGUAAGAGGUCGUUCGCACAGCAACAAACCUGGUAGAAGGAGUAAGUCCAAAGGGAGACCUGCCAAAGCUGAAUGUGCUUUUUGUCGUGAGAAAGGGCAUUGGAAAAAGAAUUGUAAGUUAAAAAAGGGCAAUGCGAUUUCUGAUGCAUGUGUAGCAGAGCAUGAUGAGGAGUCAGAUUCUAGCUUGGUUGGUUGGCAUGUGGGCCUAAUGGUUGGGCAUGUGGGGUUGGAUAAUUGGGUUUUAAAUAAUCUAAUUUUGGACUUGUUUGGGCUUUAGCCCAUCGGUGUUUUUGUUUUUUAUGUUUUAAUAAUAUUAAUAAAAUAAUAAUAAAUCAAAAAAAUAUAAAAAAAUUACAUUUUGGCCCCUAAACUUUUUCAAAUUUACAUUUUGACCCCUAACUUUUUUGAAUUUGCAUCUUAACCCUUAAUUUUUUUUAUAAAUUAUAUUUAGGCCCUUAAACUUUCCAAAAAUUACAUUUUGGCCCCAUAUUUUCCUAAAAUUGCACUUUUACCCCAAAAAUUUUGCACCUUCUGCAGUUUGGUCCUUCUGGACUUGUCAAAUCGCCGCAACCAGCAGGCCAGCUCCAGCAGCCUCCCUAGGCCAUGAUUGCUCCACUGCCACCUGAAAAUAAAGAAGAAGAAGACAAAAUUAAAGGAUUUAAAAAGAAGGAAAAAAUAGAAGAGAGGGGGGAUUGGAGGAGCCAAGCAAGAAAAAAGAAAGCAAAAAUUUUUGAGAGAAAAAUCAAACAAACAGUAGUACAUUGCCGGCCAUCGCACCAACGCCACCGUGGCCACCGCCGCAUCACUCCCAUCGCCGGCACCUAGCAAAACAAACAACAACCAAGAAGCAAAAAAAAAAAGAGCAAGAAGCAAGCAACAAACAAAAAUAAAAGAGAAAGACAAAGGAAGAAAAAAAAAGAAGAAAAGGAAAAGGGGAGGAGAAGAGGAGAUAUCCACCGCGCGCCGCCGUCGAUCGUCGCACCAGGCCGGGGAGCACCGUCGGGGUUGCCGAAGAAGAAUAAAAAAGAGAGAAAAAAGAAAGAAGAAAAGGAAGAAAAAAGGGAAAGGAAAAAGAAGGAAAAUUUUAACAGUCGGGUCAAACUGACUCGACCCGACCCGUCCGCCCGUGACCCAACCCGGCACCAGCAACUUAGCAGGCCACCACAGCAAACAGCAGGCCCUAAAAAACAGCAGCAAAAAGAACAGCAGCAGGCCUGUCCAAGCCCAGCAACCCAGGCCCAAGCAGCAGGCCAUUCCAGCAGUCCAGCAGCUCCAGCCCAGCAGCUUCGGCCCAAUCCCUUGACAGCCCAAUAACAACAGCCCAACAGCAAAAAAU